UACGUAGGGUGCGAGCGUUGUCCGGAAUUACUGGGCGUAAAGAGCUCGUAGGUGGUUUGUCGCGUUGUCCGUGAAAAUUCCCUGGCUUAACUGGGGGCGUGCGGGCGAUACGGGCAGACUGGAGUACUGCAGGGGAGACUGGAAUUCCUGGUGUAGCGGUGGAAUGCGCAGAUAUCAGGAGGAACACCGGUGGCGAAAGGCGG
rnacentral:rRNA from 1 species